rnacentral:rRNA from 2 species
GUGGGCGCUGGAGAACUGAGGGGGGCUGCUCCUAGUACGAGAGGACCGGAGUGGACGCAUCACUGGUGUUCGGGUUGUCAUGCCAAUGGCACUGCCCGGUAGCUAAAUGCGGAAGAGAUAAGUGCUGAAAGCAUCUAAGCACGAAACUUGCCCCGAGAUGAGUUCUCCCUGACUCCUUGAGAGUCCUGAAGGAACGUUGAAGACGACGACGUUGAUAGGCCGGGUGUGUAAGCGCAGCGAUGCGUUGAGCUAACCGGUACUAAUGAACCGUGAGGCUUAACCUUACAACGCCGAAGCUGUU